UACGUAGGGUGCAAGCGUUGUCCGGAAUUAUUGGGCGUAAAGGGCUCGUAGGCGGUCCGUCACGUCGGCUGUGAAAACCCGGGGCUCAACCCCGGGCCUGCAGUCGAUACGGGCGGACUAGAGUUCGGCAGGGGAGACUGGAAUUCAUGGUGUAGCAGUGAAAUGCGUAGAGAUCAUGAGGAAGACCAGUGGCGAAGGCGGGUCUCUGGACAGUUCCUGACACUGAGACACGAAGGCCAGGGGAGCAAACGGG
rnacentral:rRNA from 1 species